rnacentral:rRNA from 1 species
UUGUCCGGAAUUAUGGGGCGUAAAGCGCGCGCAGGCGGUUCUUUAAGUCUGUUGUGAAAGCCCACGGCUCAACCGCGGAGGGUCAUUGGAAACUGGGGGACUUGAGUGCAGAAGAGGAAAGCGGAAUUCCACGUGUAGCGGUGAAAUGCGUAGAGAUGUGGAGGAACACCAGUGGCGAAGGCGGCUUUCUGGUCUGUAACUGACGCUGAGGCGCGAAAGCGUGGGGAGCAAACAGG